rnacentral:rRNA from 1 species
UUAUUGGAGAGUUUGAUCCUGGCUCAGGAUGAACGCUGGCGGCGUGCCUAAUACAUGCAAGUCGAGCGAAUGGAUUAAGAGCUUGCUCUUAUGAAGUUAGCGGCGGACGGGUGAGUAACACGUGGGUAACCUGCCCAUAAGACUGGGAUAACUCCGGGAAACCGGGGCUAAUACCGGAUAAUAUUUUGAACUGCAUAGUUCGAAAUUGAAAGGCGGCUUCGGCUGUCACUUAUGGAUGGACCCGCGUCGCAUUAGCUAGUUGGUGAGGUAACGGCUCACCAAGGCAACGAUGCGUAGCCGACCUGAGA